AUGACGAUAAAACUAGCGGUCGGAUCACUCCAUUCAUUCCUGUGUUUGAUGUCCAUGAUGUUGCUACUCUUGGUCACACUGUCCAGUCUGGCGGCCAUCAAGGCGGAGACCACACCUUGUUGUGUGGACUACAAAUGGUCAGCCACUAUGUUCGACGUUCGUCAGCCCUCUAAAGGAAACAGUAUAACGGCUGACUUCUACUAUGACUUCAACAACGUAGCCACUGCCACCCAGUAAUAUAAGGACGGAUCACCUCAACGUGUGAAGUCAAACAGAGUUGUCAUAUCGUACGCCAAGAAAACACGCUACGACAUCAACGCUGACGGCACAUGCACCAAGGUUGCCAUCACUGACAUGUUACUGCCAAACUGCAUCGUAGGUGAGCGUACAUUCGUUGGAUCCAGCUACGUCGGCACCCGACCAAACUGGCUGAAAUCUGACACCUGGCGCUUUCCUCUCGGCUCCCUCAACUUCACCGUGAGCUAUACAAAUCCCGGCUGUGUCCUAACAUUCCAGGUAGUCGUCGAUACAGCACAAUCCCCUUCAGUAGCUACAGUGGUAUACUUUAACGGACAUAAAGUAGGCAUCACGGAUCCAGGUGCUUUCAGCGUACCCCUUUCCUGUCAGUAGCAAGGCAACUGCUGUGUGGACAGUUUAUAUGUUAUCCCUGUUGUUGUCUGUUCACGUACGACUGUUCAUCAAUACACAUCCU